AAAUUAUAUCAAGUUUGGGAAUUGAAGAGAGUUACGGCACACUGUGAACAUCGUUGUAAACAAUCGAUGCUACACCGUGCAAGAAAAGUCCUAUCAAACAUCACGUCUAAAGCCUUUUGCAUCCUGUUGUUGGCAUCCUGGCUGCUGAUAUCUGCAUCUAUUAUUUAAGUAUAACUGCAAAAUGCAAAAUCAUCUCCAGCUAUGUUUGCUAAAAAUGUAUCAAACUGUCGUUCAUUUCCGAUUUUUUAAAUUGCUAAACUCUCCGCAUUUCUUCUUAUACCCUUCAUAGGAUUCAGUAUUGUGGGCUGCUCAUUUAAAAUCACCAUUAUCUGUGCGCUGCGUGCAUCUAUUUUCAUUAACAGCAUCCGACAACGAAGGCAGCAGCUUCCAGAAUAUUCUGUAGAAGUAAUUGAAAGGACUGCUUGAUUUGCUCCUGCUGCAGCCUGGUGUUAAUCGUCGGUGAUCAUCAUUAUUGGCGACGAAGGCAGCACAGGUUCGUACACCGAAAACGUAGCAGAACUCGUAAACGGUCUCUGAUCACUUUUCCUGGUUAUAUUUUCAGGCAAAUUUAUUACAACAGGACCAUUUGCUCGUUCAGUCGUUAUGUACGAUGUUCCGGCGCUUGUCGAUGGCACUUGGUUACCACCGUCAACUAUCUUGCCUGGCGGACGGAUGUGGCUAGGAACACAGAUCCUCCAGCAGCCGCUAUCACCAAUGCAGAAGCACUGGUGGGUAAAUGUUGUCUUACAACAGCGGUCAUCAUACCACGCUGAUUCUUCGGAGCAUGAACUUCGGCAAGCGAAGCAGUGCAGCGAUCGAUGGUACUGCAGAUCCCGUCAAUGCCUGUUGUCUACCGAUCUUCAUGCCAGAUUCCUGCGGUAGAGCAUCAGCAACCGGUAUCACUGAUGGCGCAGCAGUACUAGUUGACGGUUGCUGUCCAUGUUGCUGGCCUAACGGACAGAAUGGUGCAGGAACACCUGGUAAUGUUGACCGAUGAUGAUUAUUAUCACCGGCAUUCGAGACCAGCGCUGACACUGCAUCCGUUACCUUGAGCUGUUUAACAAC